rnacentral:rRNA from 1 species
GAAACGACUGCUAAGACUGGAUAGGAGAUAAGAAGGCAUCUUCUUAUUUUUAAAAGACCUAGCAAUAGGUAUGCUUAGGGAAGAGCUUGCGUCACAUUAGUUAGUUGGUGGGGUAAUGGCCUACCAAGACGAUGAUGUGUAGCCGGGCUGAGAGGUCGAACGGCCACAUUGGGACUGAGACACGGCCCAAACUCCUACGGGAGGCAGCAGUAAGGAAUUUUCGGCAAUGGAGGAAACUCUGACCGAGCAAUGCCGCGUGAACGAUGAAGUAUUUUGGUACGUAAAGUUCUUUUAUUAGGGAAGAAAAGAUGGUGGAAAAACCAUUAUGACGGUACCUAAUGAAUAAGCCCCGGCUAACUAUGUGCCAGCAGCCGCGGUAAUACAUAGGGGGCAAGCGUUAUCCGGAAUUAUUGGGCGUAAAGGGUGCGUAGGCGGUUAAAUAAGUUUAUGGUCUAAGUGCAACGCUCAACGUUGUGAUGCUAUAAAAACUGUUUAGCUAGAGUUGGAUAGAGGCAAGUGGAAUUCCGUGUGUAGUGGUAAAAUGCGUAAAUAUACGGAGGAACACCAGAAGCGAAGGCGGCUUGCUGGGUCUUAACUGACGCUGAGGCACGAAAGCGUGGGGAGCAAACAGGAUUAGAUACCCUGGUAGUCCACGCCCUAAACGACGAGUACUAAACGUUGGAUAAAACCAGUGUUGAAGUUAACACAUUAAGUACUCCGCCUGAGUAGUACGUACGCAAGUAUGAAACUUAAAGGAAUUGACGGGACUCCGCACAAGCGGUGGAUCAUGUUGUUUAAUUCGAAGGUACCCGAAAAACCUCACCAGGUCUUGACAUGCUUUUGCAAAGCUGUAGAAAUACAGUGGAGGUUAUCAGAAGCACAGGUGGUGCAUGGUUGUCGUCAGCUCGCGUCGUGAGAUGUUGGGUUAAGUCCCGCAACGAGCGCAACCCUUGUUGUUAAUUGCCAUCAUUAAGUUGGAGACUUUAGCAAGACUGCCAAUGAUAAAUUGGAGGAAGGUGGGGACGACGUCAAAUCAUCAUGCCCCUUAUGACCUGGGCUACAAACGUGAUACAAUGGCUGUUACAAAGGGUAGCUAAAGCGUAAGCUUCUGGCGAAUCUCAAAAAAGCAGUCUCAGUUCGGAUUGAAGUCUGCAACUCGACUUCAUGAAGUUGGAAUCGCUAGUAAUCGCGAAUCAGCAUGUCGCGGUGAAUACGUUCACGGGGUUUGUACACACCGCCCGUCA